ACGGAAGGCAGCAGUGAGGAAUAUUGGUCAAUGGACGAGAGUCUGAACCAGCCAAGUAGCGUGCAGGAUGACGGCCCUAUGGGUUGUAAACUGCUUUUGUACGGGAAUAAAGUGACCUACGUGUAGGUUUUUGCAUGUACCGUAAGAAUAAGGACCGGCUAAUUCCGUGCCAGCAGCCGCGGUAAUACGGAAGGUCCGGGCGUUAUCCGGAUUUAUUGGGUUUAAAGGGAGCGUAGGCCGUGCUUUAAGCGUGUUGUGAAAUGUAGGCGCCCAACGUCUGCACUGCAGCGCGAACUGGAGCACUUGAGUACGCAGGAAGUAGGCGGAAUUCGUCGUGUAGCGGUGAAAUGCUUAGAUAUGUCACAGAACACCGAUUGCGAAGGCAGCUGACUAAUCCGCAACUGACGCUCAGGCACGAAAGCGUGGGGAUCGAACAGGAUUAGAUACCCUGGUA
rnacentral:rRNA from 1 species